rnacentral:rRNA from 1 species
UACGGGGGGGAGCAAGCGUUGUUCGGAUUUACUGGGCGUAAAGGGCGCGUAGGCGGCCACCGCAAGUCGACUGUGAAAUCUCCGGGCUUAACCCGGAAAGGUCAGCCGAUACUGCAGGGCUAGAGUGCAGAAGGGGCAACUGGAAUUCUCGGUGUAGCGGUGAAAUGCGUAGAUAUCGAGAGGAACACCUGCGGCGAAGGCGGGUUGCUGGGCUGACACUGACGCUGAGGCGCGAAAGCUAGGGGAGCGAACGGG